rnacentral:tRNA from 1 species
UGUAGCUUAACGGUAAAAGCGCACCAUUUCGAGUAGAUUGACCGGUGAAAUCCGAGGUUCGAAUCCCGGCA